rnacentral:rRNA from 1 species
AGAGUUUGAUCCCUGGCUCAGGACGAACGCUGGCGGCGCGCCUAACACAUGCAAGUCGAACGGGACCAUUUUAGAGCUUACUUUGGGAUGGUUUAGUGGCGGACGGGUGAGUAACACGUGAGCAACCUACCUUUCAGAGGGGGAUAACAGUUGGAAACGACUGCUAAUACCGCAUAACGUUGUAAAAGGGCAUCCAUUUACAACCAAAAGAGAAAUCUGCUGAAAGAUGGGCUCGCGGCCGAUUAGAUAGUAGGCGGGGUAACGGCCCACCUAGUCAACGAUCGGUAGCCGGACUGAGAGGUUGAACGGCCACAUUGGGACUGAGACACGGCCCAGACUCCUACGGGAGGCAGCAGUGGGGGAUAUUGCACAAUGGGCGAAAGCCUGAUGCAGCGACGCCGCGUGAGGGAAGAUGGUCUUCGGAUUGUAAACCUCUGUCUUUGGGGAAGAAUAGAGACGGUACCCAAAGA